GUUCAAUCUGACCUUGGGGACAAUAGCCAGGACUGGGGACAAAAGUAGGGACUAGAGAACAGAAUGAGCAAAUGUAAUCACCCAGGGGAGCAGGGAGCGUGUGACAGGGACAGUGAAGAAACAGGCUUGGCUGGAGCCCAGGGUCCAAAUCAGGGACCAGAAAGAAAACUACUUUCAAUGUCUCUCUUCCUUAUCAUCAGAACACAUCUAUCACAGAACACCUACAUGCACAAGAGGCCUGGCUGCCUGUGAGGUCAUAGAGGAGUGAAACGCACGGCUGUGCCUUCCGUGAGCUCAUGAGGUGGUUAAGAUGAUACACACACAUGCAAACAAGCACACCUAAGGCAGAGUGCCGCAGGAAGGACAGAGAUCAUUCGUGUGCGAGUGGUGAUCCAGCCAGGGCUUCUUGAGCAACUUCUUCACACCAUGCCAAGCACUGCAGAGGCAGAGUCAGACAAGGAAAGAUAACAGAGGGUCCUCAUCACAGCAACUUCUGCGCCCAUUGUCACCUGAAAAGGGGAGAGUGAUGAACCCCUGGGGCCCACAAUAAAUCUAAGUGCACUCCAUGAAUCCCAGGAUUGCUCAGAUGGAGUCUGGGCCAGCUAGGCCUGGUUGACCAUCAACUUAACUGCAGGAUGCACAAAAUGUAUCGUCAGGUGCCUCAGAAUAAGAAGCUAAGACGAGAGCAGAGGCUUACGGCAUGAGAUUGCAGAUCCCAAGGUCACUGGCAUCAUCUAAAGUGAAGAGCUCUGCUCAGACUCUGACUUCUGCUGUCAUCUAACACCCAGAAAUGGCCUCCAUGUGCACCCCUGGAACACGCCUUCUUUCCAUUCAUCUGGGGGGGAAACUGAGGUUCUGGGAGAGGAUGGAGCCCCAGCAAAGGCUGACAAUGCAGAAUCAGCACUAGAUGCCAAGGAGGGCAUUCCAGGCAAGAAGGUUGUGACAGUGAGUGUGCAUAGGGGACUUCAGCUGUUGAAUCGAGUCUCUGAUGAGGUGCCCGACCCAGAUCUAAUCUCAGGAAAAGAUCAAGACGAUUUUCCUGUUUGGGUUCAGCCCCAAGGGCAUUCUCGGAGAGGAAUCUGCCAGCAUCCUGCCUUGACAACUGUUCACUAUUAAAAUGUCACAAACAUGAAUAAAACAUGUUCAUUUCUAAAAAGAAAAAACCUGCUCUGUCUCAUGCCUCUCUCCUCCCUCCCCCAUUUCUCUCCCUCUCUCCCUCUCUCCCCUCUCUCCCC
rnacentral:lncRNA from 1 species